CCCUUAGACGUUCUGGGCCGCACGCGCGCUACACUGACCAGUGCAACAAGCAUCCGUCCUUGGCCGACAGGCUCGGGCAAUCUUUGAACGCUGGUCGUGAUGGGGAUAGACUUUUGCAAUUUUUGGUCUUCAACGAGGAAUUCCUAGUAAACGCAAGCCAUCAACUUGCAUUGAUUACGUCCCUGCCCUUUGUACACACCGCCCGUCGCACCUACCGAUUGAAUGGUCCGGUGAAGCCUCCGGAUUGGCGCGCACCUCGGUGCCGCCGAGAAGUUGGCUAAACCUUACCAUUUAGAGGAAGGUGAAGUCGUAACA
rnacentral:rRNA from 1 species